rnacentral:rRNA from 1 species
CCUACGGGAGGCUGCAGUGGGGAAUAUUGGACAAUGGGGGCAACCCUGAUCCAGCCAUGCCGCGUGUGUGAAGAAGGCCCUCGGGUUGUAAAGCACUUUCAGUGAGGAAGAACGCCUGGUGGUUAAUACCCAUCAGGAAAGACAUCACUCACAGAAGAAGCACCGGCUAACUCCGUGCCAGCAGCCGCGGUAAUACGGAGGGUGCGAGCGUUAAUCGGAAUUACUGGGCGUAAAGCGCGCGUAGGUGGCUUGAUAAGCCGGUUGUGAAAGCCCCGGGCUCAACCUGGGAACGGCAUCCGGAACUGUCAAGCUAGAGUGCAGGAGAGGAAGGUAGAAUUCCCGGUGUAGCGGUGAAAUGCGUAGAGAUCGGGAGGAAUACCAGUGGCGAAGGCGGCCUUUUGGACUGACACUGACACUGAGGUGCGAAAGCGUGGGUAGCAAACAGGAUUAGAUACCCCAGUAGUC